rnacentral:rRNA from 1 species
UACGGAGGGGGCUAGCGUUGUUCGGAAUUACUGGGCGUAAAGCGUGCGCAGGCGGUUAUGUAAGACAGAUGUGAAAUGCCCGGGCUUAACCUGGGAACUGCAUUUGUGACUGCAUGGCUAGAGUUUGGCAGAGGGGGGUAGAAUUCCACGUGUAGCAGUGAAAUGCGUAGAUAUGUGGAGGAACACCGAUGGCGAAGGCAGCCCCCUGGGUCAAGACUGACGCUCAUGCACGAAAGCGUGGGGAGCAAACAGG